rnacentral:ncRNA from 1 species
UCACACGUUUCUCCUCCCUGAGCGUGGUCUUAACCAAGUUAAGACAUUGCCCCCGGCCCCUUCUUACUGCCGGGGGCUUUUUUUU